GAUGAACGCUGGCGGCGUGCCUAGUACAUGCAAGUCGAGCGAACAGAUAAGGAGCUUGCUCCUUUGACGUUAGCGGCGGACGGGUGAGUAACACGUGGGUAACCUACCUAUAAGACUGGGAUAACUUCGGGAAACCGGAGCUAAUACCGGAUAACAUUUGGAACCGCAUGGUUCUAAAGUGAAAGAUGGUUUUGCUAUCACUUAUAGAUGGACCCGCGCCGUAUUAGCUAGUUGGUAAGGUAACGGCUUACCAAGGCGACGAUACGUAGCCGACCUGAGAGGGUGAUCGGCCACACUGGAACUGAGACACGGUCCAGACUCCUACGGGAGGCAGCAGUAGGGAAUCUUCCGCAAUGGGCGAAAGCCUGACGGAGCAACGCCGCGUGAGUGAUGAAGGGUUUCGGCUCGUAAAACCCUGUUAUUAGGGAAGAACAAACGUGUAAGUAACUGUGCACGUCUUGACGGUACCUAAUCAGAAAGCCACGGCUAACUACGUG
rnacentral:rRNA from 1 species